rnacentral:rRNA from 1 species
AGUGAACGCUGGCGGUAGGCCUAACACAUGCAAGUCGAACGGCAGCACAGUAAGAGCUUGCUCUUACGGGUGGCGAGUGGCGGACGGGUGAGGAAUACAUCGGAAUCUACUUUUUCGUGGGGGAUAACGUAGGGAAACUUACGCUAAUACCGCAUACGACCUACGGGUGAAAGCAGGGGAUCUUCGGACCUUGCGCGAGUGAAUGAGCCGAUGUCGGAUUAGCUAGUUGGCGGGGUAAAGGCCCACCAAGGCGACGAUCCGUAGCUGGUCUGAGAGGAUGAUCAGCCACACUGGAACUGAGACACGGUCCAGACUCCUACGGGAGGCAGCAGUGGGGAAUAUUGGACAAUGGGCGAAAGCCUGAUCCAGCCAUGCCGCGUGGGUGAAGAAGGCCUUCGGGUUGUAAAGCCCUUUUGUUGGGAAAGAAAAGCAGCAGGUUAAUACCCCGCUGUUCUGACGGUACCCAAAGAAUAAGCACCGGCUAACUUCGUG